rnacentral:rRNA from 1 species
GACGAACGCUGGCGGCGUGCCUAACACAUGCAAGUCGAACGGAAAGGCCCUGCUUUUGUGGGGUGCUCGAGUGGCGAACGGGUGAGUUACCCGUGAGUAACCUGCCCUUGACUUGGGGAUAACUUCAGGCAACUGGGGCUAAUACCGGAUAGGAGCUCCUGCUGCUUGGUGGGGGUUGGAAAGUUUAGGCGGUUGGGGAUGGACUCGGGGCUUAUCAGCUUGUUGGGUGGGUAGUGGCUUACCAAGGCUUUGACAGGUGGCCGGCCUGGGAGGGGGGCCGGCCACGUUGGAACUGAGAUACGGCACAGACUCCAACCGGAGGCAGCGGUGGGGAGUAUUGCACAAUGGGCGGGAGCCUGAUGCGACAACGCCACGUGCGGGAUGAGAGCCAUCGGGUUGUGAACCGCAUUCGCCUGUGACGAAGCGUUAGUGACGGUAAUGGGUAAAUAAGCACCGGCUAACUACGUG